AGUGAAACACCGGUUCACGUAUAAUCACCGAAGUUAAACAUUGUCGAGCCCGGUCAGUACUUAGAAGAUUGACGCUUUGGGAAUACCAAGUGCUGUAA